CUUACAAAUUCCAAAUAUCACACUUUGAAUUUAUGUAUAAUUUAACCAUAAAAACGGUAUGAAUACCGAUUAUGCUUGAAAAAUCACUGUAUAAUAGUAUAAAUAUUUAAAAAAAUAACUUAAUGGAAGGGUUACGUCCCACUCACCACAGUCAUUAAAUGAAACGAGAUAAUUCAACUAAUAUUCAAGUGUAUUCAAUUUUUUUCCAAAAAAUAAAGUUUUUGCCUGCUAUAUGUAUACUGAUAUAUAGACAGUAUAAAAGUUGAUGGUAUAGGUGAUGUAGACAAAAGCAAAUUGCCUGAAUAGCCUAAUGAAAAUAGUUGUAGCGGUAGAUAGAAAAGCCCCAAUUACAACACAAUAUUUUUGAAGCCACCUACAUACUAAGCGUUAUCAACAGACUACAAUCAUAGCCUUCUAAAGUAUACGCUUUUACUAUAUACCAAUAACUAAAGGUUUAGUAACAUGUCUACACCAACUUCACUACGAGUAAGUGAGUGGGUACUAACCUCAAUUUGUACUUGGUAUUUAGGGAAUUUGAUUCAAUCUGUAUUUUAUUUAACUAAUUAUUAGUCCUUACUAUCUCGUUUUUAUCUCGUUGUUUACUUCAGUUGAUGCAUUAAAGAGAUCAUUUAUUUCAAUGGGUUUUCAAAAUAAUUUGGGAAAACCUGAAAGAAAAUUAUGCGUAAAACGACAAAUAUUUAAAAUAAGAUUUCAUUGUUUUUAACUGUUUCAGACUAUGUUUUCUACAAAAAAUAUUACUUUAAUUUAAAACUGUCAAGAGACCAUUUUUGUUGAAUUAUAGAUCUAGAUGGC